AAAAAACUGGCUCGCAUAACUUUUGGCUAGAUACCCUAAUCCCUACAAACUUGCGCCUUUGGAUCCCCACUGGUCCUGCCCCGCUGCCACGCAACUGCCGGUCGCCGUCGGUCGAAAAAGCUGCAUAGCAAGAAUGGAGGCAGAGUUUUCCAAUACACCAAACGUUAGAAUAUUGAGUGUCAAUCAGCACGGAUCAGAUCUCCCCACUAUUGAUUCCCAAUCGUUGGCUUUGGUGGGAUACCUGCAGUUUUAUAAGUUGCUCCGUUUUUCUGAGCUCCAAUUGGUCUUGGAGAAGGUUACCAACGGUAAUAUUUAUCCCAAUUUAUUAUCUUAGUUUAUUGUAUAUACUUGCCCAUGACAUAAAACAUGCAGUUUGUGUACACUUGUUUGCAUUUGUCGUAGUUGAAGUUGCGCUUGCUUACAUUCAGCUAUAUUAAUUAUCCGAGUCAAUCUUUUUGGAGAAGACUUGGAUAUGCGAUACUCCGUGGGCCUUGAAAGAGCAUGAUGUCUAGACUUUAAUGGGUAGAAAUUGUUAAAAAAAUAAAACUCUUAUCCUACAUCAACUAUAUAUAAUUGUGGUCAACAAAUUCCCAACGAAUUACAUAAGUAACAUGAACCAAAGAUGUUCCUUUUUUCCAUAAUGGUAUAUACAGAUCAUGCACAUAAUAUGCCUGAUGAAUUUCACCAUGAAGGCUUGAGAGAAAAACAUCGUUAAAUAUUAAACUUAUUUUAUUUUCUCCAUGCUUGGUUAAGAAUCAACUGUAUAUCCUAUUCUUCAUAGAGGUAGCUUCAGUCUACAUGAUUUUGCUUACCCUACCUUACCCACUCUCUCCUGGCUCUUCCUUUUUUCUUUUUCUGGAUAUUGUUACCUUUUCUUCCUACUGCUAUUUUUGUUUUACCGGUAAUGAACUUCUCACUUGAAACUUUUACUACUGAAACAAUAUUUUCUUUUUUUCUUGUUCUCAUUUUGACGGGUUAAUUUCUAGGUGAAUCACUUGUCUUCUUUCUAGGACUAACUCGUUAAACUUAAGUUGAAGUUUAGAUGUUUUAAAGCAUUGGAGUAAUUCUUAUCUAGUGUUUUAACAGUUUAUAAAUUUUUAAGCCUUUUAGCCUAGUUAUACCUCAAAGGGACAUUCGUGGAAGUUCGUCAGAGUCAUUUUUCCUAGAUGUACAAUACGCGUUCUUUGUUUUUUUCAUAAGUUUUUUUUGUUUAACCAUAGAAAAUUAAGUGACAAAAAAUAUAAAAAUAUAAAGUUGUUUGUACUAUUAUGAUAAAGAAAAAAAGCGGGCAAUCUAUUCCCAUUUUCAGAACAUCAUAUUCAAAUUACAAAAGCAAACAACUAGUUUGGAUGUCUGAUAUUUUCCAGAUCGCUUCUGUUCUUUUUUGUUUUCCCAAAAUAGAGCUAAUGAGGGAAGCUCUGCCUAUUUGAGUUCCACAAAUCAGAGCUACUCUUACUCUCUUAGACCUUUUUAAAGGAGGAAGGUCGCCUUAGAUUGAUAGCUAAAGUAAAAAUAGUCCAACUAUGACGGAUAUUGAUUUUGGAGAAGAGCAAAAUGGAUACAUAGGAUUUGUAUAGUGGAUUCCGACUAGUUUAGGAUUGCAAAGUAGUUGAUUGGUCGAUUGAUCAGUUGGCAGCGGAGAUUGGAGAUCGAAUUUGUAGCAUUCUGGCUACUAAGUUGUUGCACAGGACUUUUUGAUCUCCAAGGGCAAUGUUUCCCCUCUCCCCCGAAAGACAAGAAAUGAUAUUAACACAAACAGAUGCUACUCUGCUACCUUAUGGCUUAUGCUGCAUUUCAAGAUAUCCGAAUACGGAAUGCCUAUUCCUAUUUAUUUUUCUUAUCCACUUUGAUCAGGUUCAGCCUUACCUGUCUUCUUGUUUAUUUGGAUGGUAUUAAAUGAUUUUGCAUAUCUAUAUGUUUGGUGAUAGUUACUUGACACCCUCCCCGGCUUUCCUGACAAAGCUGAAGUGUUAUUACACUAGGCCUCAAGUAGGGUUCCUUUUCUUUUCUUUCUAUUCACGCUUCUUGUCUAUACCAACCAUCUUGAGCACGUAUAUGUCUGUUACUGCUUACACAGUGAAAUAAUCUCCAUUCAGUUUUAGGCUUUUAAUCAUUACCAUUGUCACCAUUUCUUUAUGGUGUCAGACUUGGUAUAUAUAUGCUUUUGUUUGUGAUGAAUGUGAUGCAUAUAUGAGGUCUCUUUUACAAGUAGUGAGUACUGUCUUCUAGUUUCUCUUUACAUCUAGUUUUGGCACUGGUAUAAGCUAUGAUUUCGUAAAGUGAGGAAGAUGAAGGGUAGCUCUAUAGAUUUGAGCUUUUUUAAAAUUUACAUCAUUUUUAAUUGUAAUUUUCCUAUUCUGCCUCAAAUUAAUCAAAAAUAUAGUUUUUAAAGAGUUUUGCAUAGAAAUAAGUAGAUUAGGAUACAAAUUGUUAAGAAACAUAGGAUAUGGUGCAAAUUUCGAAAGACCACAUACUUUAGGGGGUCAAAACGCAAAGAACCUGAGAACAUUUGAUGGAAUAGAGAAAGAUUUAGUACACAUGAGGAGUAACCUCUUAUCACUUACUUCCUUUUGGUGCACCCACGAUGUUCCUAUUUAUAUAGAAGAGAGUGUUGUUUGUAGGGAACAAUUAUAUUUUUGUAAGGUUUUUACUUUUAGCGUACUUCUUGUAUAUAGGUGUUUUGAUGCUCUUUAUUAACAAAAUUUUAUCACUUUAUAGAAAAAUCAUGAAAGUUUAUGGACAACGUAAUAGUAAUGCAUUAGUUUUCGGUGAUUGGUUGGGUGAUAUUAACUAUUUGGUAUUGUGCAUGUUAGAGAUCCUAGUAAAACAUAAAUGUCAAAGUGGGCAUUUCUAGUUUUCAACAUUAAACAUUAAAUGAUUAGGAAUGUCAAAUUUAUAAUUAAACCGGAGAUAAUUACCGUUGUAUUAUGUAGUAUAUUUCGCAUAUUUAUGUUCCCGCCGCCUAAUUUAUGUGGUAUAAUUUUUUUUAGUCUGUCCCUAUGAGAAUGAUAGCUUUUUAUAUUUAAAUAUAAUUUAUCUUUAAAAUGCUCACUUUACUCUUCAUGAGUUUUGUAGUCACACAAAGUCUGUAUAUUCUUUUAGAUUACAAUUUAAAAGUUUUCUUUCUUUCUCAAAAUUCCACGCCCAAUUAAACGAGGACAUAUAAAAUGGGACAGAUGGGUAAUAAUUUAUCGUUAUCUAAUUUAAUAUACAAAUGAUUAAUUUAAUUCUAUAAGAAAUAAAUAUAAAUAGACAAAAACUUGAAUUUUAAAACUUUUCUAACUUGGAAAGAUCAGAUUUACUGAAUUUUUAAAAUCAUCAUACAUGAAAAUUUAUCUUUAAUUAAUUAAAAAGAUCAUAAAUUCCAGGAAAUUUAAAGUAUAAAAGUAGGAUGAGCAGGUCUGUCAAGUUCAUAAUUACACAGGAGACUUUUAAAUUAAUUUGUUUUGUAUGUGGUUCCAUAUAUUUUUAACAAAUUGCUUUCUAAUUGAGUUUAAGAGAUUAAAAUAAUUCUAACGAAAUAGAAAAGGUCAAAGACUUUAAAAUAUAAACUUUCCUAACGAUCUCGAGCAUGUUUGAAACUUGGGAACUUGGAAGCAUAUUGAUUUACUACUUUCUUAAUGUCACUAUAUAGGAAAUAAAUUUAGGAAAGUUAACGUGAUAAAUUCGUUACUUCAAAAUCCAACUGCAACAACAUCAUACCCAGUGAAUCCCAUAAGUGGGGUCUUAGAAGGGUCUGGGGUGUACGCAGACCUUAUCCCUACCUAGCGAGGAUUUUUUCGAUAGACCAUCGGCUCAAAAAAAGCGUUUUCAAAACUGGGUUGAAAAAGCAAAAUAUGAGUAAAAGGCUAGUUUACUUCAAAACCCAAAAUAUCAAUUUAUCUAAAUUUUUAACAAAUUAAUCAUAAUUACUUUUUUAUCCAACAUAAAAUCUUCCAUAAGCUUUCUAUAUUGUUAGUGUCCUCUGAUGCUAUGUCAAUUUCAAUUUAGCCAAGAAGCAUUUAACUUGCUUUAAUUAAAGAAUCAAUCUCUGCUUUUUGUCUUAAUGCUCCAUCCAUUGUUGUGGGAUUUUGACCCAUUUGUUUGAUAAAUUAGAACUUACACAACUUUGUCGUUUAUCAACUCAUCUUCUAAAGGGGAGUGAUUUCAUUUAUUUGACCUCCUCUAAUUGAUAUCAGAUUGCGAUAUGAAGAUUAUUAAGAUUCUUGCUAAUCUAAUUCAAAAUUUAAUGACGUUCCUGAGCAAGGAAAAUAUAAUCAAUUAAAGGUAGUCAACCCUGACACCAAGUUGAGAAAUAGUUGGAAGAAUCACAGAUGAGCAACUUGUAGACGUAUUUGUGCAUCUCCUAAAUUAAUGAUGAUUGCAAUACAAAAAAGGAAAAGGGAUAUUAAGAUGGUUAUUAUGUGUAUUAUCAUAUCUAUGAAAUACUUCAAUUUUUGUGUGUUUGUUUAAAUAAAAAGGAAUGUGCUGAAGUACUCAAAAUUAACUGUAAACUGAAAUAAUAUUUGUAAACUUGGAAAGGAGACUUAAUGCGUUACUUGUGUCAACAAGAAAACGAUGAAGUUUGUAUUAAUUAAAAAGGUCAAAUAAUGAAAACAAGGUAAUUUUUUAAACUUAAUCGUAGUAACAAAUUUUUCCAGCAUGGAAUAUUAGGAGUGCAAAAAAGGAAGGAUAUCUUAAUUUUGUGACUUUUUUGAGUUACCUUUGUAACAUUUCUUUAAUACUUCCCUUUAUUAUUGAAGUAGAUCUAUUUUUGUUUGAAUUCUAUUCUUGUCGGGUGUUUGUUAAUAUUUUCAAGUUGAUUGUUUUUUCACCUUUUCCAUCUCAAUAAUAGGUAAGAACAAGAAUACUUUUCUUAUUAGUUGAUGUCCUUUUAGCAUUCGAUUACAAGGAUAGGAAAUAAAAUAUAUGAACUACAUAACCAUAUAGCAAGAGAAAGAUUCACUUCUAGAAGGCUGGGAGUAGUAGGAUUAGUGGAGAACAUGUAUAUUAAGAGGUUCUGUUUCCUCAUCUGCGUGUGCAUGUUUGUAUGUUCAUUUUUAAUUAGUACUAUUUUUUUUCCAUCAGAUCAAGAAAUUUGUGUAUACUUUGGAGAUAAGACAUUUCGAUCAAUUGAGGAGCUGAGACCCACAUUGUACAACGUAGAAUAUGUAUUGGGCACCCCCCUCUUACUUGUGUGGGAAAGAUUGAGAAGUUGAUUAAAGAUGUUGAGAAUGCAAGUAUAUGGGGACUCAAAUACUUGCAACCGAAUGAAGGCAUUUGGCGUUUGAGAAGGCAUUUGGCGUUUGAGAAUACAUGAGUAGUCCUAAUAAAGCUGUAGAAGCACACUGAAUGAAAAUGAUGUAAACUAGCCUAUAAUUACAAUGAAAAGGACUUAGUUUAUUACAAGGUAGAACUAAGUCCGAUGGCGGCAACUUUGUCUUGCGGGUCAGGGUCUGCGCGCGCGUUGCUGUGGGCGCGUGCGACACUUGUUGUGUUGGCCUGAGGCUGGGCGCUGGUGCUUGGCAUCAGGGUUUGUGCGCGAGGCGCUGCUGGAAUGGGCCUACAGCUGG